CCAUCUUCUUCAUCUUACAGGCCCACAGACUCAUCAAUACUGGACUUUUCCAUACCAGGUCCUAAAGGAGGCGGUCCACUGGGCAACGGACAGUGAUUCUGGCCUCAAGAUCCAAUCACCCGGAGAGAGGUGCAAGGGAACUUGGUCUCAGGUUUCUCUCGGUUGUGCUCUCUUCCUGAAGCCAUCUAGGGUGUCAACCAGUCAUGGGUAAAGGAGACUCUGAAGUUAAACCAAGCAGCCCCACACUGCGCAUCAGGAGGAAGAUAGAUGAAUACCUAAAACCCACCCUGGCCCCCAAAACCGUGCUGAGCUUUUUACUCGGUAGGCAACUUGGGGGGCACAGAAAUGAUGUGCAUCUGUCAAGGUGGCUGUGGAUGCUGACACAAACCACGCCAGAGUGGAGUUGGCCUUUGCCAAAAAGUCAUGUGAAUAACCCACCUAUUAUCAUUGGGGAUUAUGAAAAAUCCCAGAAAAUGAUGUGGAUCAACAAAUCCUUCCCCUGAUGGAAGCAUUAAAAUCAAAAUUCUGAUUUCACUUCUUUUGGUUUGAUGCG